AUUUUUAGUCCUGGGAAAACUUGAGGCAAAAAGAGGUGAAAUGACUUGUCCAGAUCACAUUAUAAAUCAGCAGUUGAAUGAGGAUAGAGUCUAAGUCUACACAUACUGUCUCAUUCUGACUCCCAAGAAAGUAGCCAGGGAAAGACAGACAGUGAAGGUGUUUUUCUUCAGGCCCUGUCUCUUCAGAGGACUGAAUGGUGAAUCUAUGACAUGCGUUCUGGUGCAUGCCAGAGGGGGCUGCUCCCUUCUCUCUCCCCAUGCAUGCCUGAGGACAUUUCUCCCAUCACCUGCCUCUCUGCCCAGCAACCCAAUGGGAGUGCUUUCUCCCUCUCCAGUCUGGGGAUCUCCAUGAUCAAAGGAGGUACUUUCUUCAAAACCAGUGGCAUGAUUAUAGAAAGAAUUUUAAAAUAAAUUAUUAGGAAUAAGUAUGAGCUCUUUCUUUUUUCUUUUUCUUUUUCUUUUUUUUUUUAAACCCUUACUUUCUGCCCUAGAACCAAUUUUGGUCCUAAGGCAGAAGUACAGUAAAGGGUUAGGCAAUCAAGUAAAAUAUACUUUUCAAAAAUGACUUCCCCUCCCACCUCAAAUUGAGAAUUACAAUUUCUAACGGUGUGUGUCCUUCCUCACU
ensembl:lncRNA